UUUUUGAUAAAGAUUUGCAAAAAUUAGUAUCCUUUUUUACCGAUAACACUAAAGUGGGAUAUUCCUUUCUAAUGCGUUCAGGUUUUAAUACGCCCUACGGCUCAUGUAGAAUGUGAAAUACAACUCACUAAUUAAUCUAAAUAUAAACCUUUUAAAAUUUAUUAUCCAUACACAAUAAAAAAUAUUACUGUAACUGCAUGAAGUAAGACACAACUUUAUUGUUACCAUCCGAUAACGGUGUAUGAUAAAUACAAGACACAUUGUAAGUAAUUUAUUGUACCACUUAGAUUAUGGAAAAAGGGG
rnacentral:lncRNA from 1 species